UAACCGCGGUGGCACCGCGCAGCCGGGCCCUGGGGUUAAGGUGGAGCCAGCGGUGGGGCAGGGCCGUGGGGCCGGCGUGGGGAUGGGGUCGGACAUGGGGAACUCCUGGGGAGCGCUCCAGGGCCGGUGGGGACACCCACAGGUGGGACCCGGGGAGAUGGGGGCUCCUUGAUGUCUCCAUGAUGUCCCCGUGGUGUCCACGCAAUGUCCCCAUGAUGAUGUCCGUGCAGUGUCCCUCAUAGUGUUCCCAUGAUGUCCCCGUAGUGACCCCAUAGGGUCCCCAUGGUCUCCCCAUGGUGUUCCCAUGAUGUCCUCGUGUUGUCCCCAUGGUGACCCCAAGGUGUCCCCAUGGUGUCCCCAAGGUGUCCCCAUAGUGUCCCUAUGGUUUCCCCAUGGUCUCCACAUGAUGCCUCCAUAGUGUCCCCAUGAUGUCCCCCAGAGUGUCCCCAUAGUGUCCCCAUGGUGUCCCCAUGGUGUCCCCAAGGUGUCCCUAUGGUUUCCCCAUGGUCUCCCCAUGAUGUUUCCAUAGUGUCCCCAUGAUGUCCCCGUGAUGUCUUGAUGGUGUCUCCGUGGUGUCCUUGUAUUGUCCCCAAGGUGUCCCCACAGUGUCCCCAUGGUGCCCCUGUGAUCUGCCCACGAUGUCCCUGCAGGGUCCCUGUAGCAUCCCCGCGGUGUCCCCACGAUGUCCCCGCAGUGUCCCCACGCUGCACUGACCGCGCACCGCACAGGGCGUGACCCCGGGCAGCGGAAGCCCCACCCCCUUGGGGGCGUGGCAUCGCAUGGGGGCGGAGCCAUCCCGCCCCCCCCCCUUUAGGCGGACCCACCCAACGGCUCCGCCCGCGGUGUGUUCCUCGCGCGUCCUCCGCUCCGCCGGGGGGCGCUGUAGCCCCUCGCUGCGCGGUUGCCAUACCAACGGCGCACGGCGGCGCGCUGCGAUGACGUAGAACGCAGAGCGCUGACGCAGCGCACCUCCGCCGGGGGAGGGGCCCACUUUUUUUUUUUUUUUUCUUUUUUUUUUUUUUUCCCCUCCCUCCCCCUCCCGUUCCUUUCCCCUUUUCUCCACGCUCCGUUUCCUCCCCCGUUCCGCGCUGGCCCAGGCCCGGCCCCAGGAGGUGGUGGAGGU
rnacentral:lncRNA from 1 species